rnacentral:rRNA from 1 species
AUUGAACGCUGGCGGAAUGCUUUACACAUGCAAGUCGAACGGCAGCACGGACUUCGGUCUGGUGGCGAGUGGCGAACGGGUGAGUAAUGUAUCGGAACGUGCCCAGUCGUGGGGGAUAACGCAGUGAAAAUUACGCUAAUACCGCAUACGAUCUAUGGAUGAAAGCGGGGGAUCGCAAGACCUCGCGCGAUUGGAGCGGCCGAUAUAAGAUUAGGUAGUUGGUGGGGUAAAGGCCCACCAAGCAAACGAUCUGUAGCUGGUCUGAGAGGACGCCCGGCCACACUGGAACUGCGACACGGUCCAGACUCCUACGGGAGGCAGCAGUGGGGAAUUUUGGACAAUGGGCGAAGGCCUGAUCCAGCCAUGCCGCGUGCAGGAUGAAGGCCCGCGGGUUGUAAACUGCUUUUGUACAGAACGAAAAGGUUUCUACUAAUACUAGGAGCUCAUGACGGUACUGUAAGAAUAAGCACCGGCUAACUACGUGCCAGCCGCCGCCGUGA